rnacentral:tRNA from 1 species
GGUAUAAUGGCUGAGUAUUUAGGUGAUAAAUUGUAAAUUUAUAUAGGAUUAAUUCUUAUACCA